ensembl:ncRNA lncRNA:CR43606 long non-coding RNA:CR43606
CCGCCGUCUAAUUUCACAGUCAUCAAGGCGCGGUAUCAAGCCGCGUAGAAAGCGAGAGUCUCGAUUACAGUUUAGUUGCGCCUGCGCAGUCAUCGCGGCCCGUGGAAAAUCGCCAUCAAGGUGAAUUACCCCAACCGGAGACGCCCACGCCCCCCAGUAAAUGUGUCAAGCGAAAUUGGAUCGGCGGCUGAAGAUGAAUGUAUCUCGUGAAUACAUCAAUUAAACGGCUAGGCGAUUGCGAUAGAAGGUGCAGAAAAUGAGAUGCAUGUGGGUUAUCUGCAGACUGAAAUGGAUUGGAUUGACUGGGAUAAUAAUUGCUGACCUUGGAGUUGGCUUGUUCUACUGCAUAUCCGAGAGUCAGGUUCCCAUGGAGCAGAUUUCUACAGUUCACAUUCGUUGGAAACACGGGUUAACAAACCUUUUAGCAAGUUUUCUUGACUACCUCCGCGUCAAAGCUGUUUAUAUGGCUGCCACUCGACGACACACAUUUGGUAUAUAUGUACUUUAGCACAUACAUUAAGCGGCGAAAUAUAGGUGUUUUAUUUACUUACAAAAACGAUAAGAUAGGAAUACGAAAAAUAGCUCUAUCGGGGCGCAUUUACUCAACGACUUUGCCGCUUUCGAUUGCGUUUAAUUGCAUCAAAAUUUAUUUAUAAUUUGGAGCGUAAACAAGCGAUUCAGGGUCAAUCGGAUCGGUUGAGCCCCAAAUGUGUCCGCUCAAUGGACCCCACAAGUGUCAUCCACACAACGGAGGAAAAGCGCGCCACAAUUUGGAUUAUCGUCUGAUUUAUUGGGUCUGCGACGCACUUUCAAAACCCAAGUCUCUUGCAUUGAGUAUCUACGACUGUGUCCGAAGGCGACACAAAGUAUUUCCAUUUCAAAAUGCAGCCAAUGGUCAGCGGAUUUCGUAACUCGAAUGCAAACUGCACAGGUGGACAAGUUUAGGAGAGGCCCAAAAAAUAAAAACACAAAUACAAAAUACAAAAUAGCCCACCGCAUUUGGGUCUCUGAAAUUUGGUUCAGGUUCGUCGUCGUGCUUAUGUCAUUUGUUGUCAUUAUGAAAAAAUUAUUAUAUUAAUUGUGUCCCAAAACUGGAGCGUCAACACAAUAGCUGGCAAUUAAAUUUGGGUCUAUGAUGUGUCAAAAAAAAUAUAAGCCAACGCGGAAACCUAAGAGCACGUGGUGUGGUCCCCUGGAAAACAUAAACUAUUACUGCCGCUUGAUAAUAAAUUCAUUUCAGACAGCUACCUAAUCCGAAAUAAACAUAAUAUAUGGUCUCGAAUUCC